ACAGGAAGUAAGGCCUACGGGAGCCGAGGUGGGCCUAAAGACGCCGGGUUCGGGGCUCCCGGGCGGGAGGGGAUGAGUGGGCGCUGACCCGGAGGCGCGUCGCUCUAGGGACAGGCCUUAGGCGUGUGAGUGGCCGCAGCAUGGAGGACGACGCUCCGGUGAUCUAUGGGCUGGAGUUCCAGGCCCGUGCUCUAACACCUCAGACUGCAGAAACAGAUGCCAUUCGGUUUUUGGUUGGGACGCAGUCUCUUAAAUAUGAUAAUCAGAUCCACAUCAUAGAUUUUGAUGACGAAAAUAACAUCCUAAAUAAAAAUGUCCUCCUCCAUCAAGUGGGUGAGAUCUGGCACAUUAGUACCAGCCCUGCCGACAGAGGUGUGCUGGCCACGUGCUACAAUAAACCUUCAGACAGCAAAGUCCUGACGUGCGCAGCCGUGUGGAGGAUGCCGAAGGAGCUGGAGCCGGGCAGCCACGAGUCCCCCGACGAUUCGUCCAGCACCGCGCACAGCCUGGAGCUGCUCUGUCACCUGGACCACACCGCCCACGGCAGCACAGCCUGUGUCAUGUGGGAGCCCACGGGGGACGGGAAGAAGGUCAUCUCGCUGGCGGACAACCACAUCCUGCUGUGGGACCUGCAGGAGAGCUCCGGCCGGGCCGUGCUGGCCAGUUCGGCAUCCCUGGAAGGGAAGGGGCAGCUGAAGUUCACCUCGGGACGGUGGAGUCCUCACCACACCGGCACCCAGGUGGCCACUGCGAACGACACGACCAUCCGAGGGUGGGACACGCGGAGCAUGAGCCAGAUAUACUGCAUAGAGAAUGCCCACGGGCAGCUGGUGCGGGACCUGGACUUCAACCCCAACAAGCAGUACUACCUAGCCAGCUGUGGGGACGACUGCAAGGUGAAGUUCUGGGACACCCGAAAUGUCACCGAGCCCGUGAAGACCCUGGAGGAACACUCCCACUGGAAGGUCCGAGUAGAGCUAGAACUGCCUGCUUGCCUCCCAGGGUGUGGAGCAUCCGCUACAACCACUCUCACGACCAGCUUGUCCUCACGGGCAGCAGCGACAGCAGGGUGAUCCUGUCCAACAUGGUGUCCAUCUCCUCCGAGCCCUUCGGCCACCUGGUGGACGACGAUGACCUGAGUGACCAGGAGGAGCGCCGUCCAGAGGAGAAGAGCCAGGAGCCCCCACAGGACAGCGUCAUCGCGACCUACGAGGAGCACGAGGACAGCGUGUAUGCCGUGGACUGGUCCUCUGCUGACCCCUGGCUCUUCGCCUCCCUGAGUUACGACGGGAGGCUCGUCAUCAACAGGGUGCCCCGGGCGCUGAAAUACCACAUAUUGCUGUAGUCCCAUCCUGAUCCGUCUUUGGCAGGUUCUCGAAAACGUGUGGCUCUUUGGAGGUAGUUUUCCAGAUAGACCCGUGUCUGGGAGAACCAGCGUUGCCUGCCUCUCUGGCAAGCCUUCGUACAUGACGAGGGAGCUUCUGCCAGCAGCCGCUGAGCCUGCCUGAAGUCUUCCUCACUGACCACGGGAAUGGCGUCCUCACCAGGGCGUGAACCGUCCUGCUGUGGAUGGCUGUCUGCCUGGUCUCUGUUUGCUCUCCCUGGUCUCUGUCAGGGUGUUGGGAGUUCCAUUAAAAAAAACAAAAAGAACAAAAAAACCCCACUUUGUUUCCAUAAUAUUAACUCAUUUUUUCUUGAGAUUAAAAAUAAAAUAAGCAAGGCUA